rnacentral:rRNA from 1 species
AGGGUGUAAACGCUGCAGACUUGGUGUUGGAGGCCCUUUGGGGGCAUUCAGUGCCGGAGAGAAGUUGUUAAGUCUGCUGCUUGGGGAGUACGUCCGCAAGGAUGAAACUUAAAGGAAUUGGCGGGGGGAGCACCGCAACGGGAGGAGCGUGCGGUUUAAUUGGAUUCAACACCGUAAAACUCACCAGGGAAGACUGUUACAUGAAGGCCGAGAUGAAGACUCUGCUAGAUUUUCAGAGAGGAGGUGCAUGGCGUCAGUGACU